CGACCUAAGAUUUUAUUUCUAAACCUCACUUAUAGGCAUAUAUGUUUGAUUGAAUACACCAAGGGAGAUCCUAGGAUUUUGGAUUUCGGAUUUAUCGGAUUUCAUAAAAAUUUUGAAAUCUAGUCUUUUGUUGCAUGACCUGAAACCCAACAGUGGUAUCAGAGCCUUCUUUGAUCAAUUCAAUCAGAUGUGAUAUUUAUUGAUGA
rnacentral:lncRNA from 1 species